rnacentral:rRNA from 1 species
UGGGGAAUAUUGGUCAAUGGGCGAAAGCCUGAACCUGCAAUGCCGCGUGAGUGAUGAAGGCCUUCGGGUUGUAAAGCUCUGUCGGGAGGGACGAAAAAGGGCGGGUAACGCCGCCACUUGACGGUACCUCCAAAGGAAGCACCGGCUAACUCUGUGCCAGCAGCCGCGGUAAUACAGAGGGUGCAAGCGUUGUUCGGAAUUACUGGGCGUAAAGCGCGUGUAGGCUGCAAUGUAAGUCGGAUGUGAAAGCCCUUGGCUUAACCAAGGAAGUGCAUCCGAUACUGCAUCGCUUGAGUGUCGGAGGGGAUGGCGGAAUUCCCGGUGUAGAGGUGAAAUUCGUAGAUAUCGGGAGGAACACCUGUGGCGAAGGCGGCCGUCUGGACGAUAACUGACGCUGAGACGCGAAAGCGUGGGUAGCAAA